rnacentral:rRNA from 1 species
UAGGGAAUCUUCGGCAAUGGACGAAAGUCUGACCGAGCAACGCCGCGCGAGUGAAGAAGGUUUUCGGAUCGUAAAACUCUGUUGUUAGAGAAGAACAAGGACGUUAGUAACUGAACGUCCCCUGACGGUAUCUAACCAGAAAGCCACGGCUAACUACGUGCCAGCAGCCGCGGUAAUACGUAGGUGGCAAGCGUUGUCCGGAUUUAUUGGGCGUAAAGCGAGCGCAGGCGGUUUCUUAAGUCUGAUGUGAAAGCCCCCGGCUCAACCGGGGAGGGUCAUUGGAAACUGGGAGACUUGAGUGCAGAAGAGGAGAGUGGAAUUCCAUGUGUAGCGUUGAAAUGCGUAGAUAUAUGGAGGAACACCAGUGGCGAAGGCGGCUCUCUGGUCUGUAUCUGACGCUGAGGCUCGAAAGCGUGGGGAGCAAACAGG